rnacentral:lncRNA from 1 species
GUCCUGCACUAGGCAUUGCAGAUAUGAAGAUGAACUGGAUACAGAGCCCGAUUUCAGGGAGUCACAAGAGUGUGUGCUUAGUGCUGUGAGAGAGAACUUCCCCCUAGACAAAGGACAUCUAGACCAGCCUGGAGGGAGCAGACCCUGUUAAUAUCUCUGAGCUCAUUGCUUUUCUGGAAGAACAUGUUCCGAGUUCCAAUUUGGGAUGAUUCAAAACCUACGUCUGCCCCAGGCUUGAGCUAAAGCAGAAGGAGAGGAUUUCGGAUGACAAAAGAGCAUGAGAAGAAGAAACGUUGUGCAUUGGUGCGUGUAGAAUAUAGAGUCAUUUGGUGUGUUCAGGGUCCAGAGUACAUCGAUGGUUGCAGUGUGAGAUAAGAUUGGAAGAGGAAGAGGGACGAGACAGAUCAUCAAAGAGCUCCAAAUACUCUGUGAAUUACGUGAGUCACACUUAGAGCUUGGGUGGGAAGCUGACCCCAUUAGCUCAGCAGGACAGGCUUGUGGUGUUUGCAUCUGUCUCCAAAACCCUAGGAAAUGCUCUUUGGAAGGGCAUGGUCUGCAGCCAAACUUUCACCUGAGGUUUAUGAAGGAAAGACCUUGAACCUGUCUUUUGAUGGCUCCAGAUGGCUGGAAAGAUGGAUUUGGUGAGGGCCCAGCAGACAUCAUUCACUAAGGAUGGCCAGUGCAUCACAGACAAAGGAAGAGGCGCCUGGGAUGGGUCACACCCUUUGCCUCCUCUCUCUGGAUGGCAUUUCUAAGUCACACCAGGUGAGCAGUUGCUUUUCCACAUCACCGGGCCAAGUUGUAUUUUCUCAAUUGUUGUCCUGCUGGACCACAGUGGCAUACCAGGUCCUAUUAACAAAGUGGAGAAAGCAGAGAUGUAAAAGUUGCACUGGCUUUUUAAGACUGCCGAACUAACUGCUUCAGGGGGGACCUUGUUUCCAGCCAUGAACUUAUGAACUGAGGAUUUUAUGAAAUCCAAUCCUCAUUGUUAUUAUAGCAUAAUCCUCUUUCAGUUAUCCACCCAAUUUCUCUGUAACAGUUUUACUUCUUCCUUCCUUUUCCUGUCAGGGGCUCUGGGCAUUGAGGCUUGGGAUACCCAUCUCCUGAGCCCUUCUUCCUGGGAAGAUGCCAGGGGCCAAAGCCAGGUGGACGCCAGCUCAGCCUCUACACUCUCAGUCCCAACUGGGUGUGAUCACUGCAGAGCUCCUCUGGGGUGGAGAGAAAGAAGAAAUAAAAGAGCCCUUCUUUAUAUAAAAUUGGAUUUUAACAUUCUCCAAAGUGGUGGCAGCCCCUGGAUUGCAAAUGAAAAGCACCCAGUUUUCCCAGAGAAUAAUCUGGAAGAGGGAAGUGGAGGUGAAUGGCCUCCUUCUGUAAUGGUAAGAACUUCUCCCCAGCCACCUCCAGAAGACAGAGAGAGGCAUCUGGGGGUCGGGGAUGUGAGUUGGCAAGAAGCUGGGAGACGUGACAGCCAGAGAGAUUGGGAGCGGAGACGUGCACCGCCCGGCGCCCUUCACUCAUGUCCUCCCUGGCCUGGGGCUCGGCAAGGCUCCUGCUGUUCCUUCCAUCUUCUCCAAGUGCUGAGAAUGAGGCGAAAGAGGAAGCAAUAG